ACACACACACACACACACACACACACACACACACACACACACACACACACACACACACACACACACACACACACACACACCAUUAGAUACAUACUGAUGUAAAAGUAUUUAUUUAUAUUGUUACCUACACUUAUGGAAAUAGAUACUGCAUUUGUGAUUUUUUUUUUUUUUUUUUAUGAACUGAAAUAGAUUAAUAUUAUUAUAAUUAGGAAUCACUUGAUUAUUCACUUUGGGAUGGAAUAUUAAAAAUAUCUAGUCUGAAAAUUGAAUCUUUGCUUUUUAUUAUGUUAAAUAAAAGUUGAAAAGCAGCAGGUGGCCAAGAACGGAAAAGAUUGCAAAGUGCGCAUGUGAUGUGGCUUCUCAAAAGGAACGUGAUGUGAAAAAAGGCAAAAUGCAUAUUACGUCACAGGAGGUGUUGUCUUACUAAGUUAAAAAGCAUUUUAAAUUCCUCAGUGCAUGUAGACAGAGAUAGAUUUAGUUCAUUGUGUCAGUUAUUGUAAAUUUAUUUCUUAUGUAAUAAUGCAAAACAAAAAAAAGGUUUUAAAAUAUUACCUCUUCUUGGUCAUUCCAAAUACAAUUAUUUACCUUUUAUUUUUAUUAUUAUUAUUAUUAUUAUUAUUAUUAUUAUUAUCAGUUACUUUUAUUUAUGUAAAUUAGAUAGGCCUGGUGUUAGAAGCCUAAAUGCUAGGCCACUACCUCUUACGUAAGAUCUUUUACCUCAGAACGUUUUUUGUUUUCUUUGUUUUUCUCUCUGAUUUUAAAUGAAUUAUGUGAGCUUCUAGGUAAUUAGUUAUAGCACAUUAAUCUGUGUAGAAUUUCUCUUCAGCCUUCUUCCUGUCUCUUUCUACGUGUACACUAGACAUUUUGCAGAUGAUUGAUUUUUUUUCUCUUUUCAUUUUAUUUUCUUCUUCUUACUCUCUCUCUCUUUCUAGAAAACUUCAUGAACAGUAUCAAUUAGGAUGUGAAAUAUAUUGGCGUUUGGUUGUUCAGCUUCAUAAUCAUAACAGGAAGAUAACAGCUUGACCUGGGUAGUGUUUACCUUUGGUAUGCAGGGUAUGAUUACCUGAGUAUGAAUUAAGACAGGGCCUUGAUGACUUGAUUUGGUGAUUGUAGAAUGGUAAGAUGUGGGUGCAUAUCAGUCAUAUUUCAUCACAUUAACAGCUAAGAACUUAAUUGUUAGGGUAAGAAUAUGUAAUAGUAUACAGGUUACACUGAUGCAUAGUUGAUGUCUUCAUUAAAUAGGUUUUCUGUAAUUGUGUACAUUAGCAGACAAUUGAUUUUCUGACAUGGUGUUAAAUUUGCCUCUUGGUAUGAAUUGGACCUAUCCCAUAGAGCAGAUUUAAGUUCAAGACUUGGGGAACCCAAAUGUUAUGACUGUCUUGUUUCAGAAGUAAAUGGUUUCACACCUGGCAGACUUUAAAAUUUCUCAUCUGAAAAGAGCUGGAAUGUAGUAAACCCACAUCAUAGAAUGACACAGUUGGUAGCUAAUAAGUGAAUUUAUUUUGUUAGUGGUGAGCACAGACUCCCCAUGGGAGCAGCAAAGUACAAAGUCAUACUGUCCCCGGCCAGCUACACAGAGUAUAUCCAGGUUUGUAAGAGAAUAUGUAUGUAGGAUUGGAUGCCACUCUUGAAAAUGUUAAAUGUCGGAGGUUACACCUUUUGGUUAUAAAUUAGGUUUGUAAGUGAAAAAAUUCUCAGGUCCCUGAUUUGAUGCUCACAGAGACCUGUCCUAUGUAUAUACAGUGUAAUUUUUUUUAUCCUUCUUUUUAUUUUUUUUUUUAUUUUUUUUUUUUUUUUUUGGUUUGGUAUAUGCUUGUAUGCAUGAUUACAUGCACUUGUGUAUACAUGUAUAGGUGUGCCUCUGCAUGAGUGGAUCAGUGUGUUGGUCUGUGUGUAUGAACACAUAACAUUAGGAAGUAGAUGUCUGUAUAUAAUGCUAUGUUAAUAGAUGAUUUAUUAAAUCACUAAAGGCCAAACAUAUGAAUACGUUGCUCAAUUGUGUGUGUUGGGAUGUUUAUAUGUAAUUUUGAGUAUGUGUCCUUGUAUUUGCAGGCAUGUGCCUACAUAUGUACGUGUGUGUGUGUGUUUGUGUGUGUGUGUGUGUGUGUGUGUGUGUGUGUGUGUGUGUGUGUGUGUGUGUGUGUGUGUGUGUGUGUGUGUGUGUGUGUGUGUGUGUGUGUGUGUGUGUGCUUGUAUACAUACAUAUGUACACACACGGUAUCACUAGCAUUAUUGUAUAAGUGUUGUGUAAUAGCCCUUCUGUUUUUGCUCAGCUUUUUGAGGUGUUCCAGUAAAUUUUAUGUUGAGAUAAAUACAAAUUCCCAGUAAUGUGUAUGAAAUAUUGAAACAAUUAUUUUUUCAGAUCUAAGUUAACUUUUCAAAGAAAAAAAAUAAUGUCAAUAAUUGACACAAGUGAUAUAUUUGAUACUUAUAUGUAGGAGCCAUGGAUCAGUUUGCUACAGUUUAAUUAGUGUGAAACUUUUAUUUUGAAAUUGGGCGGUAGAGAAGAAAAAAAUUACGUUGCUUCAUCAUUGCAGAUAUUCCGUGACAGAUCGGAAAGCUUAACCAUCUGCUACUAAUUUAAUCAUCAACAGUGCCUCUUGUCUGCAGUCACCACAUCUUUGAGUCUUUUGAAACAAUUACUGUACAUUACAAAACAAAUGAACCUUUGGCAGUGAUCUACAGGCUUCUCACCUCAUUUUAUACCCUCCAAGAAUUAUAUAUUUCCAGCAGUUGAACCUGCUUGCAUUUUGGUGUACAAUGUUUGGUGCUUAAAAACAUUUUAAGGUAGUAAUUACCAGAAUGACGGGUACACCUUAUCCCCCAAGUUUGGGAGUGAGAAGAUUCUGUUGGUAAUUGUUUCCUGUGGAUUUGAGGGAACAUGCCAGUCUUUAUUUCAUUUGUGCACUAGUGAGCAAAUUUGAAAACUAGGGACAAAGUGUGUAUAUAUUAGAGUGGAGGCUUUAAGAGUUUAUAAAUAUAUAUAUACAUAUAUAUCAAUAUAAUAUAUUGAGGAAAUGUGCUGUGCUGCACUGGUGUUACUGUAAUCAGUAAUAAAAUAUUGAAAGAA
rnacentral:lncRNA from 1 species